rnacentral:rRNA from 1 species
UGGGGAAUAUUGCACAAUGGAGGAAACUCUGAUGCAGCGACGCCGCGUGAACGAUGAAGGCUUUCGAGUCGUAAAGUUCUGUCCUAGGGGACGAUAAUGACGGUACCCUAGGAGGAAGCCCCGGCUAACUACGUGCCAGCAGCCGCGGUAAUACGUAGGGGGCAAGCGUUGUCCGGAUUUAUUGGGCGUAAAGGGUUCGCAGGCGGCCUUUUAAGUCAGAUGUGAAAGACUACAGCUCAACUGUGGUAAGCAUUUGAAACUGAAAGGCUUGAGUUAAGGAGAGGAAAGUGGAAUUCCUAGUGUAGCGGUGAAAUGCGUAGAUAUUAGGAGGAAUACCAGUGGCGAAGGCGACUUUCUGGACUUAUACUGACGCUGAGGAACGAAAGCGUGGGGAGCAAACA